AUCGCGUACCGACCGGGAGGGUGAGAAUCCUCAACAGGGUUCGACAAAACGCUCGCGUUUUGGACCGCCAACGGCGGCCCGCAGGGUGAGCGCAGCGAAUCAAUCCCUCCCUCACCGCCA
rnacentral:sRNA from 2 species